rnacentral:misc_RNA from 1 species
GAUGAAGAACGUAGCGAAAUGCGAUAAGUAGUGUGAAUUGCAGAAUUCAGUGAAUCAUCGAAUCUUUGAACGCACAUUGCGCCCCUUGGUAUUCCAUGGGGCAUGCCUGUUCGAGCGUCAUUUGUACCCUCAAGCUUUGCUUGGUGUUGGGUGUUUGUCCCGCGUUGCGCGUGGACUCGCCUUAAAGCGAUUGGCAGCCGGCGUAUUGGCCUUGGAGCGCAGCACAUUUUGCGCUUCUAGUCAUGAAUGUUGGCGUCCAUUAAGCCUAUACAUUUGCUCUUGACCUCGGAUCAGGUAGGGAUACCCGCUGAACUUAAGCAUAUCAAUAAGCGGAGGA